rnacentral:rRNA from 1 species
CCCUUAGAUGUUCUGGGCCGCACACGCGCUACACUGAAGGAGGCAGCGUGUACUCCUGGAUCGAAAGAUUUGGGUAACCCGCGAAUCUCCUUCGUGCUAGGGAUUGAGGUUUGCAAUUAUCCUUCAUGAACGAGGAAUUCCCAGUAAGUGCAAGUCAUAAGCUUGCGCUGACUACGUCCCUGCCCUUUUUACACACCGCCCGUCGCUACUACCGAUUGAAUGAUUUAGUGAGGACUUCGGACUGGGACCGAUGCGGCUUUCGGGCUGCGUCGGUAUUCUGGAAAGAUGUCCAAACUGUAUCAUUUAGAGGAAGUAAAAGUCGUAACA